GACGAACGCUGGCGGCGUGCUUAACACAUGCAAGUCGAACGAUGAAGCAAAGAAUCGAAGCUUCGGCAGAAAUUCAUUUCGGAUUAGUGGCAGACGGGUGAGUAACGCGUGAGCAACCUACCUCUUACAAAGGGAUAGCCUCGGGAAACCGGGAUUAAUACCAUAUAACAUUGCGACGAAGCAUUUCGAUGCAAUCAAAGCUACGGCGGUAAGAGAUGGGCUCGCGUCCCAUUAACCGGAUGGUGAGGUAACGGCUCACCAUAGUGACGAUGGGUAACCGGCGGGAGAGGGUGAACGGUCACACUGGAACUGAGACACGGUCCAGACUCCUACGGGAGGCAGCAGUGGGGAAUAUUGCACAAUGGAGGGAACUCUGAUGCAGCGACGCCGCGUGAGUGAUGAAGGAAUUCGUUUCGUAAAACUCUGUUCUAUGGGAAGAAAAGGACUGUACCAUAGGAGAAAGCUCCGGCUAAAUACGUG
rnacentral:rRNA from 1 species